rnacentral:tRNA from 1 species
AGUGUAUCUCAGUGGUAGAGAGUACUUGCCUAACAUGUACAAGGCCCUGGGUUCAAUUCCCAGCACU